rnacentral:rRNA from 1 species
UCGAAGUCUGACGGAGCACGCCGCGUGAGUGAUGAAGGCUUUCGGGUCGUAAAACUCUGUUGUUAGGGAAGAACAAGUGCUAGUUGAAUAAGCUGGCACCUUGACGGUACCUAACCAGAAAGCCACGGCUAACUACGUGCCAGCAGCCGCGGUAAUACGUAGGUGGCAAGCGUUAUCCGGAAUUAUUGGGCGUAAAGCGCGCGCAGGUGGUUUCUUAAGUCUGAUGUGAAAGCCCACGGCUCAACCGUGGAGGGUCAUUGGAAACUGGGAGACU